AAUGAACGCUGGCGGCAGGCCUAACACAUGCAAGUCGGGCGAACAGAUGAAGUGCUUGCACUUCUGACGUUAGCGGCGAACGGGUGAGUAACACGUAAGGAAUCUACCUAUAAGCGGGGGAUAACAUUCGGAAACGGGUGCUAAUACCGCAUAAUAUCUUCUUCCGCAUGGAAGAAGAUUGAAAGACGGCUCUGCUGUCACUUAUAGAUGACCUUGCGGUGCAUUAGUUAGUUGGUGGGGUAACGGCCUACCAAGACGAUGAUGCAUAGCCGACCUGAGAGGGUGAUCGGCCAAAUUGGGACUGAGACACGGCCCAAACUCCUACGGGAGGCAGCAGUAGGGAAUCUUCCGCAAGGGGCGAAAGCCUGACGGAGAAAUGCCGCGUGAGUGAAGAAGGCCUUCGGGUCGUAAAACUCUGUUAUAAGAGAAGAACAAAUUGUAGAGUAACUGCUACAGUCUUGACGGUAUCUUAUCAGAAAGCCACGGCUAACUACGUGCCAGCAGCCGCCGUAA
rnacentral:rRNA from 1 species